rnacentral:rRNA from 1 species
UGGGGAAUAUUGGACAAUGGGCGCAAGCCUGAUCCAGCCACGCCGCGUGAGUGAUGAAGGCCUUCGGGUUGUAAAGCUCUGUGGGGAGGGACGAAAACGGCCAGUAAGAAACGACUGGUCCUUGACGGUACCUCCUUAGCAAGCACCGGCUAACUCUGUGCCAGCAGCCGCGGUAAUACAGAGGGUGCGAACGUUGCUCGGAAUUACUGGGCGUAAAGCGCGUGUAGGCGGAUUGCUAAGUCGGGCGUGAAAUCCCCAGGCUCAACCUGGGAACUGCGCUCGAAACUGGCAGUCUCGAGUAUCGGAGAGGGUGGCGGAAUUCCUGGUGUAGAGGUGAAAUUCGUAGAUAUCAGGAGGAACACCGGUGGCGAAGGCGGCCACCUGGACGAUUACUGACGCUGAGACGCGAAAGCGUGGGGAGCAAACAGG